CACGGGCAGCUACCAUGCAGUCGAGGGGUAACAGGGUUGCUUGCAACCGCUGACGACCGGCGCACGGGUGCGUAACGCGUAUACAAUCUACCUUUUGCUAAGGGAUAGCCCAGAGAAAUUUGGAUUAAUACCUUAUGGUAUGUAUUUAUGGCAUCAUAGAUACAUUAAAGGUUACGGCAAAAGAUGAGUAUGCGUUCUAUUAGCUAGAUGGUAAGGUAACGGCUUACCAUGGCUACGAUAGAUAGGGGCCCUGAGAGGGGGAUCCCCCACACUGGUACUGAGACACGGACCAGACUCCUACGGGAGGCAGCAGUGAGGAAUAUUGGACAAUGGAGGGAACUCUGAUCCAGCCAUGCCGCGUGCAGGAAGACUGCCCUAUGGGUUGUAAACUGCUUUUAUACAAGAAGAAUAAGUCUCUCGUGAGGGACGAUGACGGUAUUGUAUGAAUAAGCACCGGCUAACUCCGUGCCAGCAGCCGCGGUAAUACGGAGGGUGCAAGCGUUAUCCGGAAUCAUUGGGUUUAAAGGGUCCGUAGGCGGAUUAAUAAGUCAGUGGUGAAAGUCUGCAGCUUAACUGUAGAAUUGCCAUUGAUACUGUUAGUCUUGAAUUAUUAUGAAGUAGUUAGAAUAUGUAGUGUAGCGGUGAAAUGCAUAGAUAUUACAUAGAAUACCGAUUGCGAAAGGCAGGCUACUAAUAAUAUAUUGACGCUGAUGGACGAAGCGUGGUAGCGAACAGGAUUAGAUACCCUGGUAGUCCACGCCGUAAACGAUGGUCACUAGCUGUUCGGACUUCGGUCUGAGUGCCUAAGCGAAAGUGAUAAGUGACCCACCUUGGGAGUACGUCGCAGAUGAACUCAAAGAUGGACGGGGCCCGCACAGGCGGUGGAGCAUGUGGUUUAUUCGAUUGAUACGCCGGAGGAAACCUUA
rnacentral:rRNA from 1 species